CGUGUGCAUCCCCACAGGCUAGGUAGCGGGAGCUAUGAACAAGUAAGAGGGGAUGAAAAUCAUGCAGGGUAGUGGGCACUAGAGUGGAGUGUAGACUGUCGAUGUUGACUUGGUUACUGUUCAUCAAGUGGGGCUGAUGUAGAUGGGAUGGGAGAGGGAGGCGGGCAUGAGGGCAAGAUUAAAUGCACUAAUAGAGCUCUGUGUAGUGAUGGUACUUACUUGACUUUAUUAGUUUGCAGAGGAAUCAUCCAGGAGCCCUCGCCAGAUGAGAAUAUGCAGAAGUGGACCUCAGCAGUCUGGACAUCCUUUUAAGGAGACAUGGAAAAGGCAGAAAGAUGAGGAAUAUUCAUAACUGCCUGUGAAUAAGAGUACCAAGGAAAAAGAAGUCACGGUCAGAGUCUACUGUCCUCAUGUGAUGGAAAGUGAGCGAGAGCGACGAGACCACGAGCAUUGUCGAAAUCAAGCAUUAGCCGUGCAUCUGGGAGCGGAGCAGCUACUGCUGUCAGUGAGAUAAGUGUCUGUUCUGGUGAGAGCUCUGCUCACGGCCCACCUGGCUCCAGGUAGGGACGUCUUGUUAGUUGGGUCUGGGUUUGUAACAAAAUGUUCAUGGCUAGCUGUGGUUAUGAGGGAGACUGGGUCCCCAUUUUCAGGGUCUGCUCAUGUGUCUGCUGACAAGUGAUGUGUCCUCUGCAGAAAAGGUAGGUUCCAGGUGGCGAGUUGCUUGCCUUCCUCCCGUGUUUCUUUCUUUCUCUCUCUUCUCUAGCGUUGGCCAACACACUCUGUCAGUCUGUCCUUGCCUCUUUUUCUGCUGUUUCACUUCAUUGCACACAGGCAGGUGAGUUAGCUGUGUAUCCCCAGAGGCCAGGUCUCAGGAAGCAUGGCGAAGUAGGAGAGGACGAAAAUAAUGCAGGGAAGUGGGUGUGAGAGUGGAGGCAGGUACUGGAAGGUCUUGUGCACCUGUAGUGUUUUUGGCAGUGAUGGCUCUUCCAUAGGUGGUUUGCUGUUCUUGCGGAGGGCUGCUCCAGGGCAGUGGAGCAUCUGCAGGAAGCAGACCUGCACAAUCUAGCUGUUUCACUUUGCAGUGGAGCUGAGGAGUGCUCUUGUAAUGUUGGAGGAGCAGGUGCGUGUUUUUGUGAAAUGAUAUUUCUCUAUCCAGUAUCUGCAGAGUGAGGUGCCUCGUGGAGAGCAGAGAGAUGCUUCUCCUAUCCUUGGGAAGGUCCAGCUCUGCCUGUGGCUGGCAGUGGUCUGGGAUUGUCCCUUUCCUGGAGGGCUGUAGCUCCUUAGGAGUGUCAUACUGAGAUUGGUCAGAUGAGAGAUCGGCCAACCUGUGGCAGAGACCAAAGAAGGAGCAGGGAUGAAAGCCGGACAAUGAUCUGCAGAGUAAGAGCAAAUGGAAGCUUGCUGAAGUUCAGUAUUGAGGGAGGGCUGCAAAUACUCUCAUCAGUGGAGAGAAUUUUACCACGGAGAAAGAAGUGAAGGGUAAGAGCCCACCCCCGUUUUGAGAUGGAAAGCACCAAGAGCCGUGAGACCACAUGCGUUGUCGAUGCCAGGCUAUGGCGAUGCCGUCGAUCUGGGAGUGGAGCAGCCGUCACCAUCAGUGAGAUAAGUGUCUGUCUGGUUUGGGGAGGACUCCGGUAACGGCCCACCUGUCUCCAGGCUAAGACUUGUCAUUAGCUGGGGCUCAGUUUGUAGGAAAAGAUUCCUGACCUGCUGUGGUUACGAGGGAGACAAGGUCCCCAUUUUCAGGGGCUGGUCUUUUCUCUGUCCACAAACAGU